UACGUAGGUGGCAAGCGUUGUCCGGAAUUAUUGGGCGUAAAGCGCGUGUAGGCGGUUCCUUAGGCCGGUCGUGAAAGCCCAUGGCUCAACCAUGGAAGUGCGAUCGGAACCGGGGGACUAGAAUUUCGAAGAGGAUGGCGGAAUUCCCAGUGUAGAGGUGAAAUUCGUAGAUAUUGGGAGGAACACCGAUGGCGAAGGCGGCCGUCUGGGAGAAUAUUGACGCUGAGACGCGAAAGCGUGGGGAUCAAACAGG
rnacentral:rRNA from 1 species